UUGUCCAUUGUGUUUGCACACUCUUCACCCUGCUCCUGCCCACUCUGCUGGUCACCUGCCCCCUGGUAAGCCCAUCACUCCUGAAAGAUCCUUAGUGCCUGGAUUUUGUCAUCCAGGCCUGCAGGAUGCUGCCAUUUGUCCUGAGGAAGGCUGUACCAGACAGAGAGGAGGAGAUGGAGGUAGAUGCAAAGAUUGAUAUAGAGGAGGAGAUGGAGGUGGAUGUGGAUGAGGAGGAAGAGAUGGACGUUGAUAUGGACGAGUCCAUUGAGGACAUGGACAUUGAUUAAGAAGGUGCGAUGGACAUCACAGAGACACCACCCUUUUGUAUAUAUGUUCUUCAGUUUGUUGUUUUUCUUUAGAAUAUAGAGUUUAGGGCAAUGUUUGACUUCUGUAAAUACCUUUCCCAUAGUUUUGCUACGUAGGUAUUUAUAUAUAUACAUGUUCUAUCGAUGGUUGUUGUUACAAAUAUUCUUGCAAUGUAAAUAUCUUCUGUAGUUUUGCUGCUGUUUUUCUGUAAUAAACAAAUUUUAUUUUUCACACCCCAGUUCUCCUUGCAUUUGCUUCAGGCACAGGCAGCAUUUUGCCAAGUUGUAGUUUCCACUUGCUCCAGGUUCCCAGGGCUGGAGGUCAGAAGUAGAUGAAGGGGAAAAAAUCCACAAUUAAGAGUGUCCAUGACACCCAGAGCCAAAAGAAGCCCAGGGGAUCCGGAAAGAGGGAAGCACGUGCUCCAAACAACAGCAGAAAUGAAGUGAGAGCUCUGGAGGGAACAAAAAACGAGGCAGCCUGAAGAAAGGAAAAAACGUCUCCCCACAAGGUGUUUUGCUUUUUUUUCAUUGAGAGUCUCUUGUAUCAUGUGGUGGAAACCCAGAAAAAUAAAGGUCAGGAGAAGCAUGGUUUAUUGGGAACAUUGCUGCAUAGUAGACAAUCCUUGUGCAAAUCAGU